CGCGGGGUGGAGCAGCCUGGUCGCACGUCGGGCUCAUAACCCGAAGGUCGUCGGUUCAAAUCCGGCCCCCGCAACCA
rnacentral:tRNA from 1 species